UAGAUAGGCCAUGUGCAUUUUACUGAACGUUACUAUACGAUGUACAUAAUACACAGACAUAAAGUUAAUACAGAGAAGUGGAUUUUGCUACAGCUCAAAUGUUCAUAGUACAAGGUGUCUCAGUUUCUUAUUCUGUUAUUUACAGAUGCAGUUAGCUAGUGUGCAAAGCGGGAGUGGCUACAGAUCAAUCGACUGCCUCAAAAAGUGGUCAGUCGAAUGUUAACAAAGGGAAAAGAUUGCAACCCAGAAAGAAAACUGACUGACCCAAAACUAUUGUCAGUCAGUCAGCCCAACAGAAAGAAAGCCUCAGAACAUUUUGUUUCUUUCUUCUGCUCUUUCUUUAGCCCAGAGAGAAAACAGGCCUGAACCCGCUAAGCUAAAGAUCCAGUUAUCGUACAGCUCACUAGGGCUUCUCCCUUGCCUCCUCUUCUUUGUUGCUCGACACCCACACAACUGCCACCAUGGGAAAAGAAAGAAAGCUCAGAUCUCCCCUUGUCUUCUGAUGUUUCUGAACAACUUGUCCAGACGAUUCUUGCUAGCAGCUACCUUCUCCUUCAAUCCACCAAACCAACAGCAGCAGAUCUACUAGAAAAAAAGGAUAAUCCUCAAUUUCAUACCCAGAUCACAGAUCUGUCAGCAGGAAAAGCAAAACGAAGGAGAAAGAAACCUGGGGAUCAAACUGGUUCUGUAGUGUUCACUGGAGGUAUAUACAUAAAUUUGUACAAAAGGCAUUUAAUCUACAUGGAUUACAGGGUUGAAUUCAUAACACUUUACCUUCAUACAACUUGCAACCUCAAAAUACUAGACUUGCACACGCUUUAUAAAGAGCAAAAAAUGAGAUACAAUCUAAAUACUAAACUUGCAUGCUCAAAAAUGCUAAAAUUGCACAUUCAUCAUAGUAAAAUUGCGGACAUUUUACAACAGCAAGACUGAUAUUACAGGACGUAGAUACAUGGACGUAGCAACACUCAAUUCACAAAAUAUAACUACAGCAAAGAAAACUAAUCCACAAGAAAAGAACUUGCAUCAUCAUCAUACUAUAUUGCGCACACUUUAUCAGAGCAAAAAAUAAAAAAUAAACACUUGAAACAAAAAUGUAAUACGAAAAAUGGAAACUACUGUAUGAAAGAAUCCAAUACUAAAUUUAGAUGUGUACAAAAUGAUACCCUAGUUUCAUCAUGUAUAAACAUUCAUAAAAUUCAGAAUUUAUAAGUAAAACUUGCACCCUCAAGAUAAUAGACUUGCACGUACUUUAUAAGAGCAAAAAUUCAUAGAGUCCAAUACUAAACUUGCAUGCUCAUCAUAGUAAACUUGCACACCUUUUACAACAACAAGACUGAUAUUAACAUUUUGAUAUCAUAAUUUAGGUGUUACUGGAUUUAAGCUACAUGGAUUACUGGAGGUAGAUACAUGGAGGUAGCAAAUCUCAAUUCAAAAAAAUAUAACUACAACAACAAAACUAAUCCACAAAACCCAAUUUUUUUUAAAAAAAAGAACUUGCAUCCUCAUCAUACUAGACUUGCACACACUUUAUCAGAGCAAAAAAAAAAUUCACAAAACCUUGAAACAAUAAUGAUAAAAUGGAAGAUGGAAACUUGUAAAGUUAAAUAUGUACAAAAUGAUAACCUAGUUUGAGGUUAACUGCAAUUUGAGUGGUUAUACUAAAUCUUGAAUGGUUAUACUAAAGCAAACAAAAUGAUAAAAUGCGGACAUUUUAUGACAAUUAUAACUACAGCAAACAUAACUGCAUACACACACUGAAAAAAAACAUUUGAGUGGUUAUACUAAAUCUUGCACGCUAUUAACAACAGCAAGCAAUCACAAACUGUAUGAGUUGAUCCAUAAAAUUCAAAAUUUACAAGUAAAACUUGUAUCCUCAUAAUACCAGACUUGCACACAAAGAGCAACCUUCAUAUAGAAUCCAAAAACUAAACUUGCACAUUUAUUACAGUAAAAUUGCACACAUUUUACAACAGCAAGACUGAUAUAAACCUUGUUGAUAUCGUAAUUUAGAGUUUUCUGGAGGUAGAUACAUUGAUUUAUACAAACAGCAUGUAACCUACAUGGAUUACAGGGAAGCUAACUCAAUUGACAACUAUAACUACAACAACAGAACUAAUUCAUAAAAUUCAAAAUUUACAAAUGAAACUUGUAUCCUCAUAAAUAGUAGAGUUGCACACACUUUAUUAAAAAGAGUAAAUUUAUAUAGAAAAACCAGCAAACGCACAUUAAAAAACAAAAUCACGAAAAUCAAUGUUCCAUAAAAAAAUACACAUUCAUCAGACUGAACUUGCACACAUUUUACAACAACAAAAAAACUGAGGUUUACUGGUGGUAGAUACAAUUAUUUGAACAAAAAUGUAUUUGAAUUACAUGAAUUACUGGAGUUAGAUACAUGGACGUAGCUAACUAAUUUACAAAAAUAACUAUAGCAACAAAACUAAUUCAUAAAACUCAAAUUUUUGAAAAAGAAAACUUGCAUCCUCACAAUACUAAACUUGCACACACUAUAUGAGAGCAAACAAAUCACAAAAACCUUGCAAAGAAUCCAAUACUAAAAUUAAAUGUGUACAAAAAUAAUAUCCUAGUUUGAGGUUAACUGCAUGUAUAAACAUUGAAUUCAACAAAAGGAAUUACAUUAACUACACAACACGAUGAAUUGACAAAAACAUAAAAUCAUUAAACUACUAAAACUAAAAAAUUUGCAACCUCAUACAAGGGGAUAAGAAAAAUAAAGAAUGUAAAUGGAUAAGAAACUCACCAUCCUCCUAGAGCAAUAUUCAUCAAGGACGACGUCGAAAACUUCAGGGACUUCAUCGGCUGGCACAAACAGAAAGCAUGGAGCACCAGGACAACAACAAACAGGGCAAACCAUACCUAUACUAAAAAAACAUAGGGUUAUUCUACAUGGAUAACUUAAAAAAAGAUCUAAAAUAAACACGCUCCCUAAAAAAUUAAAUCUAAACAACUUGCAUCUCUAAGCAACUAGACUUGCAUAAACUAUUCAGAUAUCAAUGGGGAACCAUACAUGAACUAGACUUGCAUAAACAAUUCAGAUAUCAAAGGUGGGGGGAGCAUUGUGGUUACGAACCGUAACCUGCAUUUGACUUAACAAAUGAACAUACUAACCAUACACACAAAGAAUAUAACAUUUACUUAAUAACCCUAAGAAAUUGGCUAGCAAGCUCAAACACUAGGGCUGCAAGGCGGCACCCCGAGCCAUUCUGCUCCGAAUUGAAGAUGAGGCAGGCUCAGAUGUAGCCAACCUGAUGUCGUUCUAGCUUAAUUUCGGCUAACUCAACAUUAUGGCAGACACUGAAAAGACACCACUCCACACCGAUAUUAAGAUUAAUGAGUUCUAAAUCAACAAAAGAACAUAUAUCACCUGCAAAAAAAAAGAACAUAUAUAAAACCUAGAAGCACAUGACCUUCAAUCUGCAUCAGAAAAUAACAAAUGUACACAAAAAAGGUAGGAUCUUUGAAGAGGUAGAAGACUCACUCCACAUCUAAAAGAUCCUUAAAACUUGGUACUUGCACUACCACCAAACAAACAAAAAAUAUAGCAAACCUAAAGACUACAAAACCACCUACAGAACCAUCAAAUAAAAUACACGUACGAUUUGAAUCCAUCCUAAACAGUACAAAAAAAACAUAAUUAAAUCACAAUAUAACAAAGAACCCUAGAAAACUACUCUCACUGCCACCGUAAACAUUACAGUAAUGAGAUCAAGCAAAAGAAAAAACCUAGAGGGAGAAGUAUAAGCAGAAGCUGCAGAUCUAGCAAGAACAUCCACAAACCCUGGCUCUCGCAGGCACAGCAAAACACACUAUGCAAAACAUUACAAUAGAGAGAUUAAGUAAAAGAAAAUACCUGAAGAAGGGGAUAGAUGUAGCAGAACUAAUCCGUCUGCCAAGGAUCCCCUGAUUCCCAAAUCCCGCGAACAGAAAAAAGCACAAAAAGCACUUUAGAAAAGCAUAAGAACAACCACAGGGAUAAGAAUAAGCAGAGGGAGCAGAUCUAGCAAGAACAUCCAUUAACCCCAACUAUCGGUAGGGAGAGGAGAAGACACACCGGACUGAAGCAGAGGCGCAAGUGACUGAUAGGAAGCGAGGGGAAAGGGGAUAAGACGAGGAGAGCAGCGACGGUC
rnacentral:lncRNA from 1 species